GGCCAUGGCGCUGCUAUACAUGCAGUCGAGCGAACAGAUAAGGAGCUUGCUCCUUUGACGUUAGCGGCGGACGGGUGAGUAACACGUGGGUAACCUACCUAUAAGACUGGAAUAACUCCGGGAAACCGGGGCUAAUGCCGGAUAACAUUUAGAACCGCAUGGUUCUAAAGUGAAAGAUGGUUUUGCUAUCACUUAUAGAUGGACCCGCGCCGUAUUAGCUAGUUGGUAAGGUAACGGCUUACCAAGGCAACGAUACGUAGCCGACCUGAGAGGGUGAUCGGCCACACUGGAACUGAGACACGGUCCAGACUCCUACGGGAGGCAGCAGUAGGGAAUCUUCCGCAAUGGGCGAAAGCCUGACGGAGCAACGCCGCGUGAGUGAUGAAGGUCUUCGGAUCGUAAAACUCUGUUAUUAGGGAAGAACAAAUGUGUAAGUAACUAUGCACGUCUUGACGGUACCUAAUCAGAAAGCCACGGCUAACUACGUGCCAGCAGCCGCGGUAAUACGUAGGUGGCAAGCGUUAUCCGGAAUUAUUGGGCGUAAAGCGCGCGUAGGCGGUUUCUUAAGUCUGAUGUGAAAGCCCACGGCUCAACCGUGGAGGGUCAUUGGAAACUGGGAAACUUGAGUGCAGAAGAGGAAAGUGGAAUUCCAUGUGUAGCGGUGAAAUGCGCAGAGAUAUGGAGGAACACCAGUGGCGAAGGCGACUUUCUGGUCUGUAACUGACGCUGAUGUGCGAAAGCGUGGGGAUCAAACAGGAUUAGAUACCCUGGUAGUCCACGCCGUAAACGAUGAGUGCUAAGUGUUAGGGGGUUUCCGCCCCUUAGUGCUGCAGCUAACGCAUUAAGCACUCCGCCUGGGGAGUACGACCGCAAGGUUGAAACUCAAGGAAUUGACGGGGACCCGCACAAGCGGUGGAGCAUGGUGGUUUAAUGUCGAAGCAACGCGAAGAACCUUACAAUCUUGGACAUCCUUUGACACUCUAGAGAUAGAAGCCUUCCCCUUCGGGGGACAAGUGGACAGGUGGUGCAUGAUGUCGUCAGCUCGUGUCGUGGAGAUGUUGGGUAGUUCCCGCAACGGAGCGCCACCCUUAAACCUAGUUUGCAAGCAUUUAGGUGGCACUUCUCUAAGUUUGAC
rnacentral:rRNA from 1 species